GGGCAAUGAUGACUUAACAAAAGCAGAGGAGUUUGUGCUGCUCAUGCGGAAGCACUACACCUCCACACUAGCAGUCUCCAGCGACAAAAGUCCGACCUGUGGUGAGAUUUUGCCCAUCCUGCAAAAGCUACAGCAACACUACACCAUACAAGAAGAUGACUCUGCCUUCACAAGGAGCAUAAAGGAGAACAUUUGGAAAGAUCUUUCCAAACAGUACCAGGGACGCUGAUAUCCAGAGAUUCCUGGAGGAGGCCUCCAUCUUGGACCCCCGAUUUAAAUCCAAAGUGGAUAAGGAUGAAGUCUGGGACAGGAUCAGGGAAGCAGCAAUUGCAGCAAACACAGAGGCAGGAGCAGAUGAGCACCUGGAGCAAGGAGACACACAGGGAGAGUUGUUCGAAGAUGAAGAUGAAGAUGAGGAUGAAGAAGACUAUGCGCCACCAGUAAAGCAAAAAAAAACGGCCUUGGAGGAACUCUUUGAAGAGGAGGACAAUGAGCUGCAGUCAUUCCAACAACGGCAGCCCAGAGAGUGGAUCAGGAGAUCCAGCUGUAUAGAAGCCUA